rnacentral:tRNA from 4 species
AAGGGGAUGAUGAAAUUGGUAAACAUGGAUGGUUUAGGACCAUCUGAUAUUAAGUAUCUUACCCGUUCAAGUCGGGUUCUCUUUA